GUUUCGAACAUGAGCAUUGAUUCGGAAGAAUCCGUGAGAAGAUCUGUCUCCGAAACUCCAAAGUGUUCAAAGAAAAAACAAGUUCCGAAGGAAUGCAUGGACAUUGAGUAUAUGGAUAAACAAUUCAAUUCAAAUACGAACACAAAUCGAGUCUAUGAAACGCAGCAUUCUCUAUGAGAUUUGAACAUAAACUUAAAGCUCUUAGUCUCAAUAUCACAACUUUAAAGAGUGAAAAUAUACAAUAUGAUUAGAAGAAAAUUCAAGAAACACUUGGUACUACUUCCCCACUAACUACACUAGAGGGCUUUCUGGCUUUUGAAGCGGAACUUCAUCUUAUUGAGGACAAGAAGAAGGCUUUGACGCAGCUUAUGGAAUAUUUGAGUGUAAACUAUACUACCACCAAAGAAUGUAUUAUUAAAGUUCAUCCCUCUAUACUUGACAAGAACGUGCAAUCACAUUAUUCCGGCCAAGGGAUGAAGAAGGCUUUUGCAGUCAAGUGUUGUUCUAAGCUAUAUAUGCUUGCUUUGAAGCUGCAAUGAUAAACCGAUGGGGAACAUGUCCCAAAUUAAUUUCCCACGUGGGAGUUUGGCUAGCUAAAUGGCAAAAUCGUGAAAGAGGACGAAAACAACGUGUCAAAGUUGGGGAAAUACAAUCGCAAUCAACAAUCAACAAUAAUAACAAUCCGUAACUAACAGCAACAAACAAGAAAAAAUAAAUCUCAAUAUUAAUAUAGAGAUUCUUAA